AGGGUUCGAUUCUGGCUCAGGACGAACGCUGGCGGCGCGCCUAACACAUGCAAGUCGAACGGAGUUAUUAAGACAGAAGCCUUCGGGUGGAAGAUUUAGUAACUUAGUGGCGGACGGGUGAGUAACACGUGAGGAACCUGCCUUGCAGAGGGGGAUAACAUCUGGAAACGGAUGCUAAUACCGCAUGACACCAUUGGGGGGCAUCCCCUGAUGGUCAAAGAUUUAUCGCUGCAAGAUGGCCUCGCGGUCGAUUAGAUAGUUGGCGGGGUAACGGCCCACCAAGUCGACGAUCGAUAGCCGGACUGAGAGGUUGAUCGGCCACAUUGGGACUGAGACACGGCCCAG
rnacentral:rRNA from 1 species